ACACAUGCAAGUCGAGGGGCAGCGGGAUUGAAGCUUGCUUCAAUUGCCGGCGACCGGCGCACGGGUGAGUAACGCGUAUCCAACCUUCCGUACACUCAGGGAUAGCCUUUCGAAAGAAAGAUUAAUACCUGAUGGUAUGAUGAGAUUGCAUGAUAGCAUCAUUAAAGAUUUAUCGGUGUACGAUGGGGAUGCGUUCCGUUAGGUAGUAGGCGGGGUAACGGCCCACCUAGCCAACGAUGGAUAGGGGUUCUGAGAGGAAGGUCCCCCACAUUGGAACUGAGACACGGUCCAAACUCCUACGGGAGGCAGCAGUGAGGAAUAUUGGUCAAUGGACGAGAGUCUGAACCAGCCAAGUAGCGUGAAGGAUGAAGGUCCUACGGAUUGUAAACUUCUUUUAUAAGGGAAUAAACCCUCCCACGUGUGGGAGCUUGUAUGUACCUUAUGAAUAAGCAUCGGCUAACUCCGUGCCAGCAGCCGCGGUAAUACGGAGGAUGCGAGCGUUAUCCGGAUUUAUUGGGUUUAAAGGGAGCGCAGACGGGUCGUUAAGUCAGCUGUGAAAGUUUGGGGCUCAACCUUAAAAUUGCAGUUGAUACUGGCGUCCUUGAGUGCGGUUGAGGUGUGCGGAAUUCGUGGUGUAGCGGUGAAAUGCUUAGAUAUCACGAAGAACUCCGAUUGCGAAGGCAGCACACUAAGCCGUAACUGACGUUCAUGCUCGAAAGUGUGGGUAUCAAACAGGAUUAGAUACCCUGGUAGUCCACACGGUAAACGAUGGAUACUCGCUGUUGGCGAUAUACUGUCAGCGGCUUAGCGAAAGCGUUAAGUAUCCCACCUGGGGAGUACGCCGGCAACGGUGAAACUCAAAGGAAUUGACGGGG
rnacentral:rRNA from 1 species